rnacentral:rRNA from 1 species
UACGGAGGGGGCUAGCGUUGUUCGGAAUUACUGGGCGUAAAGCGCACGUAGGCGGCUUUGUAAGUUAGAGGUGAAAGCCCAGGGCUUAACCCUGGAAUUGCCUUUAAGACUGCAUCGCUCGAAUUGGGGAGAGGUGAGUGGAAUUCCGAGUGUAGAGGUGAAAUUCGUAGAUAUUCGGAAGAACACCAGUGGCGAAGGCGACUCACUGGACACAUAUUGACGCUGAGGUGCGAAAGCGUGGGGAGCAAACAGG